AGUCCUCCGCUCUGCUGCAAUGUAAUGUGUCUGCAUCUGCACCUGCACCACGGUGUAACAGUGGCGACGCUUUUUCUUGCGGAUAUCAGGCACUCAUGCCGUUGCUUCCCUGCAUUUUCCAAUGUGGCGUUGGUGCAAUCCGCAGACAAUCAGUGUCUCUCACAUUACGAUGGUGAGAUGCAGAUGCAGAGGUGUUACAUUGCAACUGACCCUCAAUU
rnacentral:pre_miRNA from 1 species